rfam:Pythium ultimum DAOM BR144 ctg_1117875580695, whole genome shotgun sequence.
GACAGCUUGGCCGAGUGGUUAAGGCGAUGGACUUGAAAUCCAUUGGGGUAACCCGCGUGGGUUCAAAUCCCACAGCUGUCG